rnacentral:rRNA from 1 species
ACGGCGAGCGAACGGGGAAGAGCUCGUAGCCGAAUCUCGAGCCUYUCGGCUCGGGAAAUGUGGCGUAUGGGAGGCGGUCUUCUUAGGGCGACCGGCGGUACAAGUCCCCAUGAGCGGGGCUUGUGACCCAGAGGGGGUGCUAGGCCCGUACCGCCGCCGGUCCACCCGAGGAUCUGCCGUUCUCCCGAGAGUCGGGUUGCUUGGGAGUGCAGCCCAAAGUGGGUGGUAAACUCCACCUAAAGCUAAAUAAGACCGAGAAACCGAUAGCAAACAAGUACCGUGAGGGAAAGUUGAAAAGCACUUUGAAGAGAGAGUUCAAGAGUACGUGAAACCGUUCAGAGGUAAACGGGUGGGACCUCGAAUUCUGAAGGCGGUGGCGGAUUCAGUCGGGCUCGACCGGUUCUAUCCUUUAAUUGGUGGCUUCGUCAGAAGGCCUUUUAGGGGAGACACGAGCCUUUUCCCGGCGCACUUCUGCACCCCGCCCAUCGGGCGUCGCAACCGGCUGAGAGGUCGUUGUACGGGCGUGCGCGAAAGGUAACCGCGUUGCCUUCGGGCUCCGCGGUGUUAUAGGCGGCACGUCCCCGAGGGGCCUUUCGGCCGGGGUGGAACACAUCUCCGAGGCGCUCCUUCCACGAGCGGAGCGGGCUUGGGUUCCGAGUUUGGUUUUGGGGGUGUUUCACGUUGACCGUGAGCAUUCUCACCGCYGGAUUUCGGGAUUUUAGUUCUCGCGAGGAGCCGGAGGUUGCGGCGAGUAGGUCGGUUUCCCACCCGACCCGUCUUGAAACACGGACCAAGGAGUCUAACGCGUGUGCGAGUUCCCGGGACUUGACCAGGCCCGAGGGCGCAAUGAAAGUGAAAGGCGGCUUCCGCCGUCGGAGUUGGGAUCCUUACUCUAYAAGAGUUUGGCGCACCAACGGCCCGUCUUAAGCCGUUCUCGGCUGGGCGGAGCUGGAGCAGACGCUCUGGGACCCGAAAGAUGGUGAACUAUGCCUGGGCAGGACGAAGCCAGAGGAAACUCUGGUGGAGGUCCGCAGCGAUUCUGACGUGCAAAUCGAUCGUCAGAC